UUUACAUUUUUUACCGAAAGAAAUUUAGCGAUUUUUAACGAAUUUCGCUUUGUCAAAUUCCAAUCGUAAAAUUGAAAACAAAAAUGGCGACACAGUGAAAGUUGGAAGUAAAUCUUGCGAAGUUAUCGUAACAGAGUUGUUUGACAAAGGCUAGCUGCCCACUGCAAUCCAGAUAAUUCUUAUGAGGUAUUGCUUGCACCCAACGAUGCGAUGAUUUUCCCAUUUCCGAAGCGAUUUCGGAAGAAGAGCCCCAAUGUGUUCAACGUGUGAGCAAGGAAACGUGAUGGACAAUGAACAUGAUGAAGUUUAUGACAAACCCAGACGAAAAUUUAUCAUGUUUCCUGUGAAUAUUUCAGCAAAAAUAUUAUGCUUUAAGUUGUAAAAGCCGUUUCCAAGGAACCAUCAGAUCAUCAGUACACUACCAUGACUCAGAGGGCCAAUGAUAGUAAACACUGCAGUAAGUCCACCAGGGAUUGAUGGCAAAAAAAAAGAAUAUUUUGAAGAAUGAUUUGGAUAUGCUGGCCUCCUCUUUGGACCUAAAUCCAGCUGAUGAAAUUCUAUCUGAAAAAAUAGUGAGAAGCCAAGAACUAAUAAUCAACUUCUGUAAAUCAGACAGUGGUGUUAAAACCUGUGUGAUGAAGUGUGCCAAAUUCAUUGAUCACAUACUUGUACAUUUUUAAGUUAUCUCCCAUGUAGAUCUAAAAAGUAAUGUACAGAGUUUAAAGUGGACUUCAAGUGCUUUAUGUAUUGUACAUGAUUACAUUGAGAUGUAUGAAAAUUGAAAUGCAUGCCUGCUCUUUUGUACAGUCUUAAAACUGUUCAUAUGAUUGUCCACAUAAUUGAUUUUGUCAAAUAAAUGAACACAUAUAUUUUA